UACAGAGGUCUCAAGCGUUGUUCGGAUUCAUUGGGCGUAAAGGGUGCGUAGGCGGCGGGGUAAGUCGGAUGUGAAAUCCCGGGGCUCAACCCCGGAACUGCAUUCGAUACUGCCUUGCUAGAGUACUGGAGAGGAGACUGGAAUUUACGGUGUAGCAGUGAAAUGCGUAGAUAUCGUAAGGAAGACCAGUGGCGAAGGCGAGUCUCUGGACAGUUACUGACGCUGAGGCACGAAGGCCAGGGGGGCAAACGGG
rnacentral:rRNA from 1 species